AAAGGCGGGGAGGGAUACAGACCGGUCACUAUGGAAACCCAUCUUCAAUCUCUCCCCAG
rnacentral:miRNA from 1 species